rnacentral:rRNA from 2 species
UUGACCUCGAAUCAGGUAGGGAUACCCGCUGAACUUAAGCAUAUCAAUAA